rnacentral:miRNA from 1 species
CGCGACCUCAGGCUGACUCAUG